rnacentral:rRNA from 1 species
GGUGAACGCUGGCGGCGUGCCUAAUACAUGCAAGUCGAGCGAACAGACGAGGAGCUUGCUCCUCUGACGUUAGCGGCGGACGGGUGAGUAACACGUGGAUAACCUACCUAUAAGACUGGGAUAACUUCGGGAAACCGGAGCUAAUACCGGAUAAUAUAUUGAACCGCAUGGUUCAAUAGUGAAAGACGGUUUUGCUGUCACUUAUAGAUGGAUCCGCGCCGCAUUAGCUAGUUGGUAAGGUAACGGCUUACCAAGGCAACGAUGCGUAGCCGACCUGAGAGGGUGAUCGGCCACACUGGAACUGAGACACGGUCCAGACUCCUACGGGAGGCAGCAGUAGGGAAUCUUCCGCAAUGGGCGAAAGCCUGACGGAGCAACGCCGCGUGAGUGAUGAAGGUCUUCGGAUCGUAAAACUCUGUUAUUAGGGAAGAACAAAUGUGUAAGUAACUAUGCACGUCUUGACGGUACCUAAUCAGAAGGCCACGGCUAACUACGUG